AGAGGAAGUGAACAGCUCUGUCAAACGCUGCUGCUGGGUGGAGCUCCCUGAAGACAGAGAGUGAACCCUUGGUUUUCGCCAUGUAGAGGUCUGCUGUGCUGAGACUCAUGGCAAACCCCAGGAGCCACCUAUGAUGUGCCAGACACAUAAGCCCCUCCCUCACAGGCGUGGGUGCAGCCGGGGCCGACCGCAUUCCAAGGAGCAUUUCCUCUGAAAGCCAGGCCAAGUGCCCGCUCUCCAGCGUGAGUCAAGCAGUGCCAUGCCUCCCACACCCCUUGCAUCACAUCUCUGGGAAUGCACAGACCUUGCUGUUACGCUCUCUCUUCCCACCCUUUAUGGGUGUUUUCUUUAAGUGGCAGAAGGAAGUGGGCAUGGGUUGGGAGAGGACCAUGAAUUCUAGUUUCUGCCAUACUGCAGGUGGAUUUGGGGAAGAAAUUUUGGUCUAGGCAACAUCAGAUGAAAACGAACACUAAGGGCAAUCCUGAAGAACCAAAAGAAACUGGCAAUGGACAGGGGUGAAUUGCAUCCUGUACUGUUUACAGCCUUAUCUCCAACUUUUGCAGAGUCAAGAAUUUAAAAGCAGCAGGGCUUGGUGGCCCAUGCCUGUAAUCCCAAUAUUUUGGGAGGCCGCAGCGGGAGGAUCACUUGAGGCCAGGAGUUCCAGACCUCCCUGGGCAACAUGAUGAGACCACAUCUCUACAGAAAAAUUAGCUGGGCAUGCUGGCAUGUGCCUGUAGUCCCAGCUCCUCAAGAGGCUGAGGUGGGAGGAUCACUUGAGCCCAGGAGGUCAAGGCUGCAGUGAGCUAUGAUCACACCAAUGCACUCUAGCCUGGGGACACAGUGAGACCCUGUCUCAAAAAACACAAGCUGAAGAUGUUUACAAUA
rnacentral:lncRNA from 1 species